AGUGAACGCUGGCGGUAGGCCUAACACAUGCCAGUCGAACGGCAGCACAGUAAGAGCUUGCUCUUACGGGUGGCGAGUGGCGGACGGGUGAGGAAUACAUCGGAAUCUACUUUUUCGUGGGGGAUAACGUAGGGAAACUUACGCUAAUACCGCAUACGACCUACGGGUGAAAGCAGGGGAUCUUCGGACCUUGCGCGAUUGAAUGAGCCGAUGUCGGAUUAGCUAGUUGGCGGGGUAAAGGCCCACCAAGGCGACGAUCCGUAGCUGGUCUGAGAGGGUGAUCAGCCACACUGGAACUGAGACACGGUCCAGACUCCUACGGGAGGCAGUAGUGGGGAAUAUUGGACAAUGGGCGCAAGCCUGAUCCAGCCAUACCGCGUGGGUGAAGAAGGCCUUCGGGUUGUAAAGCCCUUUUGUUGGGAAAGAAAAGCAGCAGGUUAAUACCCCGCUGUUCUGACGGUACCCAAAGAAUAAGCACCGGCUAACUUCGUG
rnacentral:rRNA from 1 species